rnacentral:lncRNA from 1 species
AUGGUCCCCUGGGGCAGAGGAGGAGGAUGGUGGCUGGGGGGCAGAGGGAACAUGAGGCUGAGAUGGGGGGGGCAGCAAGCGGGCAGCCCCAGGACGCAGUGGCAGUGGCAGGCAGGGCGGUGGGAGCUGGAGGUGUUGGCCAGGAGGCUGCUGAGAAGAAGCAGCACCAUGAGCAGCGUUCCGCACUGCCAGAGACACCCUGGAGCCCAGGAAAUUCCUCGGCUGUUUCUCAAAUCCCAAGGUGCGCCCCAAAGCCCGGCUGGAGUCAGAAAGGGCUGGCAGGUUCGUGGGGGUGGGUGCCAACCCCCAUGGGGCAAGGAAGCAAAGCGUGGUCCCUCUGCACCCCCUCCAAGGGGCUGGCAGCUCCUCCGGGCACGAAAGGCACAGGGAUUGAGGAGGGGGCUGCCCGGAGAGGGGUCCCAUCGGGAGGAAGGGCAGCAGCCCCCUAAAUUCAGCACCACGCAGACCCUUCCCCAAGCCUCCGGGCAGCUGGAGCCGUGGCGGAGAAGCAGGCUUCGUGCAAAGCCGGCCAAGAAGUUAGUCGGAGCAGAGGCAUGCGUAAACAUUUGGUUUCACCGAGGGCUCCGGGCGAACACAGUGUACCCUGGCUCCACGCAGCGGGAACAGCUGUGGCCCUGCGGGGCCUGGAGGCACCAAACCACGGUGGCAGAGCGACCUCCUGCGGCACGGCCACGGCCGGGGGCACCCCAAAACAUCCUCGGUCCCCGGGAGCCCCCCAAAACAUCCUCGGCCCCCGGGGACAGGGCGCGACGCCGGUGCCAGGCGGAUCCGCGCCCCUGCGGAGCCCCAGCCAAAUUCUGGCGAAGGGGGCUGGCAGCUGGGGUGCCUCUGCCCGAGAGCUGUUAGCAGUGGUUAAGCAAACGAUGCGGCAAACAACCCAAAUAUUGCCUCGCCUCGCUUGUGGCCGGCUGCAGUUUGGAUUUCCAAGAACGGAAGCAGCCCGGGGCAUGCUGCCGCGCCGGCAAGCGCAGCCCCUCAUAGGGGAGAGGGAGCUGAAACCCAGUCCUUGCUCCCUCAGGUGGGGAAUCUGACAAAAUAAAAAUAUAAAAAUAAAAAUAAAAAUAAAAAAGCCACUCACUGCACCUCUAGAUGCUCCAGAGCACAGCACCAGCCGAGCCCUGGGCUUCCCUCUCUGCAUCAACAGCGGGACCACCGCCAGCUGGGGAUGCGCAACCCCACACAGACACCAAAACGCCACAGCCACAGCCCAAAACCACUCCCAGCAUGGCCACAGAGCACAAGGUGCUGACAGGAAAACUCCUCCACCUCAGGGGAACCGCAGGGCUUGUGCCCAUGCUGCCAGCAAAGGGGGUUCCCAGACCAUUCCAGGGACUGCGUGGACCAAGGGAUGUCCCCGAGGUUUACCCGUGCUCCUUGCCCAACCCACCCCAAAACCCAGGAGUGGAGGGGCCAGGGGCUGGUGGGGGGCACCCCACAGCCCCCAGCUGUCUCCGCUGAAGCUAAGGACAGCCUGCACUGCAGGUCAGCUGCGGGACGGUGACUUUGGACAGGUACCCGCGUGCUCUCCAGCUGGUAUUUCGGAAAGCUUCCCGGGUUCCUGCACCCGUUUCUCAGCAGGCCCUCCCCCUGACAACAGGCAGAAGUUCCUGCGAAGCCUGCUCAGCUCGGGUGCGAGGUUCCUGGAGCUAUUUCGGAGAAUUUCUCUGAAACCCCUGUGUGCUGCACCCUGGUUAUUCAACAGCCACACAGCACAGCAGGCGGGCUGGCUCCUGGCAAGCGCUCAAGAAGACAGAUAAUGGAAACGCAGAGCACAGCAUCGCUCAGUGGUGGAUCUGAUUAAUGGCAGGCUCGGAGGAACCUCAAACUUGGUGGGUUGGGUUUCUGUAUCAUUAUUACUAUUUGUUUUUGUUUUCUGGGAAAUAAAGUGUCUGAGGUGUUGUGUUUCAGGCUGAGCAUUUAAAUGUCCCUCCUCUCUUCCCCCACCCCAGCAACGUUCUGCGCAAACCAGUUUUCUCCUGAAGCUUUACAUAUAUGUUUUGAAUGACUCAUUUUGCAAAGAAUUGUACUCCCAGGAUUAUUUUUUUUUCUUAUUUUAAUUUCCUGAAAGCCUUUUCUUUUUCUGCCCUGGAGAAAAGACCCAGAGCGGCUCGGUGAGCUCGGUGAAGGUCACCAGAACACAGCACCAUCCAUCAGCGCACGCCUCUCUGCUUCCCACCAGCCUCGAGCUCUGCUGCUGAGCUUACUGCAUGGUUUCUUGGCCAAUUAGUGUUACAACAUACAUACAUGCAACAAGCAGAACCACGCCAGCUUUCCACACGUUCUUGCCAAUCGCUCUUGUCUUUUUAAGCCUUUGUUAAUGCUGAAAUGUCUGGUGAUAAUGACAGGCCUAAGUCCCAGGGUUGCAAGACCCUGAAUCAUGCUUUUCUUCUCCUUAGCUGGGGGACAGCUUUGGAUGUGUGAGCUUCACUGCUUAUUUCCAACCUCCUUGCUCUCGGCUGCUUGUUUUUUAAUCAGCUUGGAAUUAACUGGCUUAUGGGGUGUUGCUUGCUUGUUGGGUUGAUUAUGGCCAUUGAAAAGCAGUCUUAAUUUUGAUCUUAGGCGUCCUGGUACUUUAUUUCUACAGCACCUUCUAUCUCAUCUUUCCAUUUUUCAUGGAAAUGAAGUUCCUCUGGGAUACCAUGAAUUAUGGUAGCUGUUCUUUUGGCUUUGCUCCCAGAAAGCUCGUCCUAGUGAGAAGCAGCACUAGCUGCGAUCUGGGGCAGCACUGGCACACAGCGUGAUUAGCGGGGACACGGGGCACUGGUGCCAAGUGACCGGGUAUGAAUUUCAAAGCUGUUCUUGAAGAUGACGAAGAUGAAGGGAGACACUUUGCACAGCAAACAACACCAAAGCUGGGCUGCCUAAGGAAGAGCAGCAAAGGGAGCGGAGACCUUGGGCAGAAGAGAUUUUGCUCUUACCCCUCUCUGCCAACAUUUGGCUAGGACUUGAGGGGGAACGGCAAAUUUGCCAGAAAAAUGACAAGAGCAGCACUGGGACGGUGAUUAGGAGGGGCAUUCUCUCCAUCUCCUUCCUGGGGAUGGAUGCACGUCAGUGCUCUCACUCUGGCAGAAGCCUGUGGGGCUGACCCAGGCUCCCCCAAGCUCCGAAGUUGCCUUCUCAUUGCUAGCUCCACCUCAGCAACACGAAGGUGCCAGAUUUCACGGGCCAAGUGUUAACAAGUCCUGGCUUACCGUUUCUUCUAAGCAGGUGACUUUGGGGCUUUGCUAACCCACGAUUACACAGAGACGCAGACACGAGGAAACCUUUCUAAUCCGCCCCUGUCGUAAUCUGAGGGCGUGUAGGUGCUUAGAUAUUGCAGGGGAAAGUGCAAAGACUACCUGAGGACCUAGAUAAGGCCACCUGUGCGGGUGUUUCAGCAAUGUCAGGGCGCACGGAGUGGUUCCCUGCUGCUGCACUGCCGGAGGCACACACAGGGACACGGAGCGUGGCGGGGGACCCGUGCCAGCGCGCGGUCAGGGCAGACCUGCCAGGGGAAAAAAAAAUAAAGAGAUUGGGUUAUUAAAAUCACCAGGGGACAAAAAAAAAAUGUCCCAUCUCCACGUGGGACAAAGAGACUCCCCCGCCUUUUACAGGGAAAGCAAUCUCUUUGAUAACAGCUGUAUAUAUAUAUAUAAUAAUAAUAAUAAAAAAACCACUCUAUCGUGAUGACUUGGCUUUGAUGCUAGGCUUGUUUCCACAGGGCAGAGGUUGCUCCGGCAUCCUCGUGGAGCAUGCACGCCCCAAGUGACUCCCACAAACAGGCUGGCUUCGCAGGCACAAAAAAAAACUUCAAAACAGCCAAAAAACCGAGAUUUUGGGUCAGGAUUUUGGUCCGGGGGGCGGCAGGGGGGUCUCCAAAACCCUUUAGCUUCAACUUAUUUAUUCCUUCCCCACACCCCCAGCUCCCUCAGCGCUCUCCUUGGAGGCGAUGACCCCCCCCGUUCCCCGGGACCGCCCCGCUUCCUGGCGGCCAUUUUGCCGCGGCGCUGCGAGCCCGGCGCCUUACGCCGGCUGCGUACCCUACGCCGCCUCCGCAGCGCUCCGCACCGUUACCGCGGCAACCGCGCCCUCCUUCGGGCGGUGGCUCCGCUGUUUACGUAGCUUCCCCGCCCGCACUUGGCGUACUUGGGUCACUAGGGGCACUAGGAGCACUUGGUGCACUUGGAGCACUUGGAGCCC